CCUACGGGGUGCACCAGUGGGGAAUAUUGCACAAUGGGCGCAAGCCUGAUGCAGCCAUGCCGCGUGUAUGAAGAGGGCCUUCGGGUUGUAAAGUACUUUCAGCGGGGAGGAAGGUGUUGUGGCUAAUAACCGCAGCAAUUGACGUUACCCGCAGAAGAAGCACCGGCUAACUCCGUGCCAGCAGCCGCGGUAAUACGGAGGGUGCAAGCGUUAAUCGGAAUUACUGGGCGUAAAGCGCACGCAGGCGGUCUGUCAAGUCGGAUGUGAAAUCCCCGGGCUCAACCUGGGAACUGCAUUCGAAACUGGCAGGCUAGAGUCUUGUAGAGGGGGGUAGAAUUCCAGGUGUAGCGGUGAAAUGCGUAGAGAUCUGGAGGAAUACCGGUGGCGAAGGCAGCCCCCUGGACAAAGACUGACGCUCAGGUGCGAAAGCGUGGGGAGCAUACAGGAUUAGAUACCCUAGUAGUC
rnacentral:rRNA from 1 species